UGAUUUGAUGAGGGUGUUCUUUCUCCCUU
rnacentral:piRNA from 1 species